rnacentral:rRNA from 1 species
AAUGAACGUUGGCGGCGUGGAUUAGGCAUGCAAGUCGCGCGGAAAGGCCCCUUCGGGGGUACUCGAGCGGCGGAAGGGAGAGUAACGCGUGGGUAACAUACCCCUGGGACUGGGAUAGCUAAGGGAAACUUUAGGUAAUACCAGAUAACGUCCCCGGACCAAAGGUGUGAUUCCGCCUGGGGAUUGGCCCGCGUCCUACUAGCUUGUUGGUGAGGUAACGGCUCACCAAGGCUCCGAUGGGUACCGGGUGUGAGAGCAUGGCCCGGCUCACUGGGACUGAGACACUGCCCAGACACCUACGGGUGGCUGCAGUCGAGAAUCUUCUACAAUGGACGAAAGUCUGAUAGAGCGACGCCGCGUGCGGGAUGACGGCCCUCGGGUUGUAAACCGCUGUCAGUUGGGAGAAAGAUUUCGUGAAGAGCGAAAUUUGAUCUAUCUUCAGAGGAAGGACGGGCUAAGUUCG